rnacentral:rRNA from 13 species
CGUAACUAACCUACCUAUAACUGGGGGAUAGCCCGCCGAAAGGCGGAUUAAUACCGCAUAAGCUCUUUAACUGGCAUCAGUUGAUUAGUAAAGAUUUAUUGGUUAUAGAUGGGGUUGCGGGUCAUUAGCUAGUUGGUUGGGUAACGGCUGACCAAGGCGACGAUGACUAGGGGAGCUGAGAGGCUGGUCCCCCACACGGG